GACCACGUAGCUCAGUUGGCAGAGCAUUGGACUAGUAUCCCAAAGGUCGCGGGUUCGACUCCCACCGUGGCCA